rnacentral:ncRNA from 2 species
UGAAUCCACUAGGGGUGUUCGAGGCAGAACUGAGACAGCAAGUUGCUGGACCCUUUGAACCUGUAAGCUAAAACUUGCGUAGGAAAGUGGCCAGUGUGUUGA